UACGAAGGGGGCUAGCGUUGCUCGGAAUUACUGGGCGUAAAGGGCGCGUAGGCGGAUCGUUAAGUCAGAGGUGAAAGCCCAGGGCUCAACCCUGGAAUUGCCUUUGAUACUGGCGAUCUUGAGUACGGGAGAGGUGUGUGGAACUCCGAGUGUAGAGGUGAAAUUCGUAGAUAUUCGGAAGAACACCAGUGGCGAAGGCGACACACUGGCCCGUUACUGACGCUGAGGCGCGAAAGCGUGGGGGAGCAAACAGG
rnacentral:rRNA from 1 species